rnacentral:misc_RNA from 1 species
GAUGAAGAACGUAGCAAAAUGCGAUAAGUAAUGUGAAUUGCAGAAUUCAGUGAAUCAUCGAAUCUUUGAACGCACAUUGCGCCCGCUGGUAUUCCGGCGGGCAUGCCUGUUCGAGCGUCAUUUCAACCCUCAAGCCCCCGGGUCUGGUGUUGGGGAUCGGCUCUGCCCUUCUGGGCGGUGCCGCCCCCGAAAUACAUUGGCGGUCUCGCUGCAGCCUCCAUUGCGUAGUAGCUAACACCUCGCAACUGGAACGCGGCGCGGCCAUGCCGUAAAACCCCAACUUCUGAAUGUUGACCUCGGAUCAGGUAGGAAUACCCGCUGAACUUAAGCAUAUCAAUAAGCGGAGGA